rnacentral:rRNA from 1 species
AGAGUUUGAUCCUGGCUCAGAUUGAACGCUGGCGGCAUGCCUUACACAUGCAAGUCGAACGGCAGCGCGGGGCAACCUGGCGGCGAGUGGCGAACGGGUGAGUAAAAUAUCGGAACAUACCCUAGAGUGGGGGAUAACGUAGCGAAAGUUACGCUAAUACCGCAUACGCACUAAGGUGGAAAGUGGGGGAUUCGCAAGAACCUCAUGCUCAUGGAGUGGCCGAUAUCUGAUUAGCUAGUUGGUGAGGUAAAGGCUCACCAAGGCGACGAUCAGUAGCUGGUUUGAGAGAACGACCAGCCACACUGGAACUGAGACACGGUCCAGACUCCUACGGGAGGCAGCAGUGGGGAAUUUUGGACAAUGGGGGCAACCC